GGAGAGAUGGCCGAGUCGGCUGAAGGCGCUCGCCUGCUAAGCGAGUAUGUGGGUAAACUGCAUCGAGGGUUCGAAUCCCUCUCUCUCCGCCA
rnacentral:tRNA from 1 species